rnacentral:rRNA from 1 species
CAGUCGCCGCGGUAAUACAGAGGGUGCGAGCGUUAAUCGGAUUUACUGGGCGUAAAGCGUGCGUAGGCGGCUUUUUAAGUCGGAUGUGAAAUCCCUGAGCUUAACUUAGGAAUUGCAUUCGAUACUGGGAAGCUAGAGUAUGGGAGAGGAUGGUAGAAUUCCAGGUGUAGCGGUGAAAUGCGUAGAGAUCUGGAGGAAUACCGAUGGCGAAGGCAGCCAUCUGGCCUAAUACUGACGCUGAGGUACGAAAGCAUGGGGAGCAAACAGGAUUAGAUACCCCCGUAGUCCUGUCUCUUAUACA